UAAAAUUUUUUUUAAAUUAGUAAUUAGAAAUCUAUGAUGAAUCAUGCAACCACCAAGAUCUAUGAAUGCCAUGAUUUUGACGUAUUUGCUAUCUGAAGUACAUUUUAAGAUAAUUAAAAUAUUAAUUUUCUUCCUAUUUUCAUUAACAAAAGUUUAUUAUUUUUACAGAUCAAUUAAUAAAAAAAUUAUCCAACGCCAUUGUCAAUUCUUCUUUUAUAAAAAUCCAAUGAACUAAAAUUUUUAAAAGAUUUCUGCAUCAUUAAUCAUCUAUUCAGGUCCAAUGGGCGUGAAGAGACAAAGAACAUAGCCACUCUAUUGUUUGAUCUUUCUAAUCAGAUAAAAAAAUCCAGAUCCAGCAGCUCAUCAAUUCCUCAGCAUGAUGAAAUGAUAUCAAAUAAAUCUACAAAUGUAUGAUUAAAAAAAAUAAAGUGAAUUUUUUUAUCCAAGAUAA